AUCACUUCUCAGCCUUUUAGCUAAGAUCAACUGUAGUAUCUGUUCUUAUCAGUUUAAUAUCAGAUACAUCCUCUAUCCAAGGAUAUUAUAUUAAAUGCAUUUUUGGAGCUGGGAGAUAGAAUUGCUUCCUCCACUCUAUGCAUCGAGCCAGUACUGCACUACUUCUGGGAACAGUGCACCAGAA